GAACUAUAGAGUUUGAUCCUGGCUCAGAUUGAACGCUAGCGGCAUGCUUUACACAUGCAAGUCGAACGGCAGCGCGGGGUAACCUGGCGGCGAGUGGCGAACGGGUGAGUAAUACAUCGGAACGUGCCCUGUGAUGGGGGAUAACUACGCGAAAGCGUAGCUAAUACCGCAUACGACCUACGGGUGAAAGUGGGGGAUCGCAAGACCUCACGUCAUAGGAGCGGCCGAUGGCGGAUUAGCUAGUUGGUGAGGUAAAGGCUUACCAAGGCAACGAUCCGUAGCUGGUCUGAGAGGACGACCAGCCACACUGGGACUGAGACACGGCCCAGACUCCUACGGGAGGCAGCAGUGGGGAAUCUUGGACAAUGGGGGCAACCCUGAUCCAGCAAUGCCGCGUGC
rnacentral:rRNA from 1 species